GGCGCUGUAGUGUAGUGGUUAUCACUCAAGAUUCUGAUUCCAUAUCAUGUAUUCUUGUAACCCCGGUUCGAAUCCGGGCAGUGCCU
rnacentral:tRNA from 1 species